rnacentral:rRNA from 1 species
CAGCCGCCGCGGUAAUACGUAGGUGGCAAGCGUUGUCCGGAAUUAUUGGGCGUAAAGCGCGCGCAGGCGGUCCCUUAAGUCUGAUGUGAAAGCCCACGGCUCAACCGUGGAGGGUCAUUGGAAACUGGGGGACUUGAGUGCAGAAGAGGAGAGCGGAAUUCCACGUGUAGCGGUGAAAUGCGUAGAGAUGUGGAGGAACACCAGUGGCGAAGGCGGCUCUCUGGUCUGUAACUGACGCUGAGGCGCGAAAGCGUGGGGAGCAAACAGGAUUAGAUACCCUGGUAGUCCACGCCGUAAACGAUGAGUGCUAAGUGUUAGAGGGGUUAAACCCUUUAGUGCUGUAGCUAACGCGUUAAGCACUCCGCCUGGGGAGUACGGCCGCAAGGCUGAAACUUAAAGGAAUUGGCGGG